rnacentral:rRNA from 1 species
AGAUUGAACGCUGGCGGCAUGCUUUACACAUGCAAGUCGAACGGCAGCGCGGGGCAACCUGGCGGCGAGUGGCGAACGGGUGAGUAAUAUAUCGGAACGUACCCAAGAGUGGGGGAUAACGUAGCGAAAGUUACGCUAAUACCGCAUACGAUCUAAGGAUGAAAGCAGGGGACCGCAAGGCCUUGUGCUCCUGGAGCGGCCGAUAUCUGAUUAGCUAGUUGGUAGGGUAAAGGCUACCAAGGCUACGAUCAGUAGCUGGUCUGAGAGGACGACCAGCCACACUGGAACUGAGACACGGUCCAGACUCCUACGGGAGGCAGCAGUGGGGAAUUUUGGACAAUGGGCGCAAGCCUGAUCCAGCAAUGCCGCGUGAGUGAAGAAGGCCUUCGGUUGUAAAGCUCUUUGUCGAGGAAGAAACGGUAGGAGACGUAAUAUCCUACCAACUAAUGACGUACCUAGAAGAAAUAAAGCAACCGGACUAACCGUAACGUACGACCGAGACGAGCCGUAA